GUGCCAGCCGCCGCGGUAAUACGGAGAGUGCAAGCGUUGUUCGGAAUUACUGGGCGUAAAGGGCGUCUAGGCGGCGUGUCAAGUCAUGUGUGAAAUCCCUCGGCUCAACCGAGGACGUGCACCUGAAACUGGCAGGCUUGAGUCCUGGAGGGGGCAGCGGAAUUCCCGGUGUAGAGGUGAAAUUCGUAGAUAUCGGGAGGAACACCAGUGGCGUAGGCGGCUGCCUGGCCAGAGACUGACGCUAAAGCGCGAAAGCGUGGGUAGCAAACAGGAUUAGAUACCCUGGUAGCCCACGCCGUAAACGAUGGGUACUAGCUAUACUGGGUGUUGACCCCCGGUGUGGCGUAGCUAACGCGUUAAGUACCCCGCCUGGGGAGUACGGCCGCAAGGUUAAAACUCAAAGGAAUUGGCGG
rnacentral:rRNA from 1 species